rnacentral:rRNA from 1 species
CGCUGGCGGCAGGCCUAACACAUGCAAGUCGAACGGUAACAGGAAGAAGCUUGCUUCAUUGCUGACGAGUGGCGGACGGGUGAGUAAUGUCUGGGAAACUGCCUGAUGGAGGGGGAUAACUACUGGAAACGGUAGCUAAUACCGCAUAACGUCGCAAGACCAAAGAGGGGGACCUUCGGGCCUCUUGCCAUCGGAUGUGCCCAGAUGGGAUUAGCUAGUAGGUGGGGUAACGGCUCACCUAGGCGACGAUCCCUAGCUGGUCUGAGAGGAUGACCAGCCACACUGGAACUGAGACACGGUCCAGACUCCUACGGGAGGCAGCAGUGGGGAAUAUUGCACAAUGGGCGCAAGCCUGAUGCAGCCAUGCCGCGUGUAUGAAGAAGGCCUUCGGGUUGUAAAGUACUUUCAGCGGGGAGGAAGGGAGUAAAGUUAAUACCUUUGCUCAUUGACGUUACCCGCAGAAGAAGCACCGGCUAACUCCGUGCCAGCAGCCGCGGUAAUACGGAGGGUGCAAGCGUUAAUCGGAAUUACUGGGCGUAAAGCGCACGCAGGCGGUUUGUUAAGUCAGAUGUGAAAUCCCCGGGCUCAACCUGGGAACUGCAUCUGAUACUGACAAGCUUGACUCCUCGUACAGGGGGGUAGAAUUCCAGGUGUACCGAUGAAAUGCGUAGAGAUCUGGAGGAAUACCGGUGGGGGAAGGCGGCCCCCUGGACGAAGACUGACGCUCAGGUGCGAAAGCGUGGGGGAGCAAACAGGAUUAGAUACCCUGGUAGUCCACGCCGUAAACGAUGUCGACUUGGAGGAUGUGCCCUUGAGGCGUGGCUUCCGGAGCUAACGCGUUAAGUCGACCGCCUGGGGAGUACGGCCGCAAGGUUAAAACUCAAAUGAAUUGACGGGGGCCCGCACAAGCGGUGGAGCAUGUGGUUUAAUUCGAUGCAACGCGAAGAACCUUACCUGGUCUUGACAUCCACGGAAGUUUUCAGAGAUGAGAAUGUGCCUUCGGGAACCGUGAGACAGGUGCUGCAUGGCUGUCGUCAGCUCGUGUUGUGAAAUGUUGGGUUAAGUCCCGCAACGAGCGCAACCCUUAUCCUUUGUUGCCAGCGGUCCGGCCGGGAACUCAAAGGAGACUGCCAGUGAUAAACUGGAGGAAGGUGGGGAUGACGUCAAGUCAUCAUGGCCCUUACGACCAGGGCUACACACGUGCUACAAUGGCGCAUACAAAGAGAAGCGACCUCGCGAGAGCAAGCGGACCUCAUAAAGUGCGUCGUAGUCCGGAUUGGAGUCUGCAACUCGACUCCAUGAAGUCGGAAUCGCUAGUAAUCGUGGAUCAGAAUGCCACGGUGAAUACGUUCCCGGGCCUUGUACACACCGCCCGUCACACCAUGGGAGUGGGUUGCAAAAGAAGUAGGUAGCUUAACCUUCGGGAGGGCGCUUACCACUUUGUGAUUCAUGACUGGGGUG